AUAUUGAAAUUAAUUUUAGUUGAUCGUAUAAUUUUCUACAAAAUGGACAUUUUUUAAGAAUGUUUUUAAUAAUCACAGUGUGAAAUUGUUAGGUUAGGUGUAGGUUGACACUUGAAAACUAAGAUGGCCGGUCUUUAUCGAUAUUCGACUAAGGGACUGAUUACGUAAAAAUCGAUCAUUUUCAUAACCUCGAAUCGAACAGACACAAAGUUAUUCCAAACGAGUAUUCGAAACUUAUUUUCCAUUGAGAGGCAAAUUCCAUAGAGUAAAAAAUGCAGACUUCGAAACAGCAAGUUUGGCGUAUCCUGCGAAAGUUCGGCACAGACCAAGUUCAGCAUAGUAAGGCGAAGAAGACGAAGCGAGGGAAGAGGACAAGAUGUUGUUGGUCGCAGAUAAAAGGGAACUGCAGCAAGGCGACUGCGGCUUAGCAUGACAAUGCAGGUGCCUCAUCCCACGUCAAAACGCAGCGUGGCGCCACGACGAGAUAGGUACCAGACCGAUCGACUGGUUUGUAAUUGUUUAAGAGGAUUAGCCAGAGUAAAGUUUACGCGUGUCCAAGCUGGAGAGGGAGGAGAAAGAAGCCCAGUCGCUGAUAUUUAUCCGAACAUUAGACUCGGCUAAACUCAAAUUUACCAGCCUGAUCCCGGAAAAUAACAUUAAAAGUGACUGGAAUCGUUUGAACGUCGAAUCACACGCCUCAUCAACCGACAGUCGCCUCUUUCAGACGAAUUCUUGUGGUUCGUCGCUUUGCAGAUAUCUGAAGAAUUUCUAUAUCGAUUCUAACUUCGGAAGAGGUAUUUAGGAAAGAAGAUUCAAGUUCAAGAAGCAGCUGUCGGUUUAAUUUCAGUAACAGCCGUUUAAAUUACGAAGGACAAAGUUGGACAGUCGAAUCUUGAUGCAAGACUAGCAAACUUGCAGUUUGCAGCAGAAGAGAUUUGCAGUUUUAUUAUGAGGAGCCAUUUUCUUAUGAAAAUUUCUCAAAAUCAAUAGGAUAAAGGUCAAAUCAAUUUUAUACUACAAUAUGCUUUAAUUUCUAAAAAAUGAAACUCUAACUUCAAGUUCGAGAAGCAACGUGUCUGUCUAAUUUCAGUAACAGCUGUUUAAAUUACGAAGGGCAAAGUUGGAGAGUCAAGUCUUGACGCAAGAUUAGCAGACACUACGAAGAAAUUUGCGGAGUUUUAUCAUGAGAAGCCAUUUUCUUAUGAAAAUAUUUUAAAAUCAAUAGGAUAGAGGUCAAAUCAAUUUUAUACUACAAUAUACUUUAAUUUCUAAAAAACGAAACUCUAACCUCGAAAUUCAACAGAACAAACUCUAUGUACCCUAAUAUUAAUAACUUACAAAAACGCGGCAUAAAAGAUAACGCAAACACAUAAACAUACGUAAACCUAAAGUGAAAGAUACCAAAAAGGACAGCGACAGCUAACAUACUGAACCCAAUUCGCAGGCAACAUUAUCAUCAAACCCGAAUUAACGAAUAUCGACGUACGAGGAGAGCGAGAGGACCGAUGCACGAGGGCGUUCAGGUGAAAAAGAUCGGCCGACAGUGAGAAUCAGAACUAUGAGACGUGAGGGAAGUUCGAUCAAGAUGAAGAUUUCCUGAUCUGAUGCACGGCACAGAACGGAUGUCGCGGGUGGCCGCAGGUGGCGCCCUCGAUAUAAGCUCUUCUGACUGAACCGCUGAUAUAGGACCGCUCUCCUAAAACUUUCACGGCGGAAUGUGUCAUCCUGUCACUGAACCCACAUGGGGUAAGAGACGUCCCAUGGGCCCGUCAACCGCGUCCCUCCAACUCCUAUACCUUUCUCCGUCUUUUUCUCUCGCUUCCUCCGAAUCUACUUCAUCCAAGUUAAACGUUGUUUCGUACACUGUUAUUACGUAACUUUGUGGGAACUUCAUUGCCAACGAUCACAUUUAUAUCUGCUAUUUGUAGCUAUUAAUCCACUGAAAUGCACAGUCGUCUAGCAGGCAUAUCGUCUAACAUCCAAGGGAUGUUAAGGAUAGAACCGAAUUUUAACACUCUGACUGCCACGUGGGUCAUAUAUGACCCGCCACGGUUUCUCCUGCGACGCCACUGUGGUCAUUGGUGACCGGAGUGCUUCAACUUCUUACAAUUGUAAAAAUUGUAUGAAAAUUGACAGUUAGGGCAUUUUAGGGUACGCUUGCCCUUCUUUCUUCUGCGUUUCGCGUCGCAAUCUUUGUCGAAUAAGUAUAUUUAACGGCUCUGGUGAAUGGCACUGUGUAAGGUGCGUUGCGAAUGCCAUUCUAAAAGCUGAUAUCUUGGUUUUUGUUGCUUGUUUAUAGAGUAUCAUCGCGUUUGAAAUUGAUGUAUUUAACAAUAACUCUAAAGCUAAUUUUAUAUACCAUUUGAGGGUUCUAUGUGUUGUAGAAUAUGCUAUUGUAGUAUCGGAAAAAGGAUAGGAUUAGGAUAAUUUAGAUUUGUAAAAUUCUCCUAAUACUAUCUAUUUAAGAUAAAUAA